rnacentral:hammerhead_ribozyme from 1 species
AUCCAGUUGAUAAGUCUCAAAUAGAACGAAACGCGCGUUCUAGAU